AGUGAACGCUGGCGGUAGGCCUAACACAUGCAAGUCGAACGGCAGCACAUUAAGAGCUUGCUCUUACGGGUGGCGAGUGGCGUACGGGUGAGGAAUACAUCGGAAUCUACUUUUUCGUGGGGGAUAACGUAGGGAAACUUACGCUAAUACCGCAUACGACCUACGGGUGAAAGCAGGGGAUCUUCGGACCUUGCGCGAUUGAAUGAGCCGAUGUCGGAUUAGCUAGUUGGCGGGGUAAAGGCCCACCAAGGCGACGAUCCGUAGCUGGUCUGAGAGGAUGAUCAGCCACACUGGAACUGAGACACGGUCCAGACUCCUACGGGAGGAAGCAGUGGGGAAUAUUGGACAAUGGGCGCAAGCCUGAUCCAGCCAUACCGCGUGGGUGAAGAAGGACUUCGGGUUGUAAAGCCCUUUUGUUGGGAAAGAAAAGCAGCAGGUUAAUACCCCGCUGUUCUGACGGUACCCAAAGAAUAAGCACCGGCUAACUUCGUG
rnacentral:rRNA from 1 species